rnacentral:rRNA from 1 species
CACAUCAUGAAAGCCGGUCGUACCCGAAGUCGCCGCUGCCAACUCGCAAGAGAAGCAGGCGCCGAAGGUAUGGCUGGUGAUUGGGAUG